GAUGAACGCUGGCGGCGUGCCUAAUACAUGCAAGUCGAGCGAACAGACGAGGAGCUUGCUCCUCUGACGUUAGCGGCGGACGGGUGAGUAACACGUGGAUAACCUACCUAUAAGACUGGGAUAACUUCGGGAAACCGGAGCUAAUACCGGAUAAUAUAUUGAACCGCAUGGUUCAAUAGUGAAAGACGGUUUUGCUGUCACUUAUAGAUGGAUCCGCGCCGCAUUAGCUAGUUGGUAAGGUAACGGCUUACCAAGGCAACGAUGCGUAGCCGACCUGAGAGGGUGAUCGGCCACACUGGAACUGAGACACGGACCAGACUCCUACGGGAGGCAGCAGUAGGGAAUCGUCCGCAAUGGGCGAAAGCCUGACGGAGCAACGCCGCGUGAGUGAUGAAGGUCUUCGGAUCGUAAAACUCUGUUAUUAGGGAAGAACAAAUGUGUAAGUAAAUAUGCACGUCUUGACGGUACCUAAUCAGAAAGCCACGGCUAACUACGUG
rnacentral:rRNA from 1 species